rnacentral:rRNA from 1 species
GACAGAGGGUGCAAACGGUUGUUCGGAAUUACUGGGCGUAAAGCGUGUGUAGGCGGCCACGUAAGUCGGAUGUCGAAAGGCCCCAGGCUCAACCUGGGAAGUGCACUCGAUACUGCGUGGCUGAGUAUCGGAGAGGUUGGUGGAAUUCUCGGUGUAGAGGUGAAAUUCGUAGAUAUCGAGAGGAACACCGGUGGCGGAAGGCGGCCAACUGGACGAAUA